CUGCUGCCUUCCGUAGGAGUUUGGACCGUGUAUCAGUUCCAAUGUGGGGGACCUUCCUCUCAGAACCCCUACGCAUCGUCGGCUUGGUGGGCCGUUGCCCCACCAACUACCUAAUGCGCCGCAUGCCCAUCCGUGACCGGGGUCGCCCCCUUUGGCCGGCAGGGGAUGUCCCCUCCCGGCAUUAUGUUGUAUUAGGCGGGAUUUCUCCCGGUUAUCCAUCUGUCACGGCCAGGUUGCAUACGUGUUACUCACCCGUGCGCCGGUCGCCGGCGG
rnacentral:rRNA from 1 species